rnacentral:rRNA from 1 species
CCUACGGUGUGCAGCAGUGGGGAAUAUUGCACAAUGGGGGAAACCCUGAUGCAGCGACGCCGCGUGAGUGAAGACGUAUUUCGGUAUGUAAAGCUCUAUCAGCAGGGAAGAAAUAGCGACCUUUGGGUCGCCAGACGGUACCUGACUAAGAAGCCCCGGCUAACUACGUGCCAGCAGCCGCAGUAAUACGUAGGGGGCAAGCGUUAUCCGGAUUUACUGGGGGGAAAGGGAGCGUAGACGGCAGCACAAGUCUGAAGUGAAAUGCCGGGGCUUAACCCCGGAACUGCUUUUGAAACUGUGCAGCUAGAGUGGAGGAGAGGUAAGUGGAAUUCCUAGUGUAGCGGUGAAAUGCGUAGAUAUUAGGAGGAACACCAGUGGCGAAGGCGGCUUACUGGACUGUAACUGACGUUGAGGCUCGAAAGCGUGGGGAGCAAACAGGAUUAGAUACCCGAGUAGUC